GAUGAACGCUGACAGAAUGCUUAACACAUGCAAGUCGAUUCAAAGUUCCCUUCGGGGAAUGGAGGAUGGCGGACGGGUGAGUAACGCGUAAGGAACUUGCCUUUUGGCCUGGGACAACUGUUGGAAACGACAGCUAAUACCGGAUAUUAUGAGAUUCUCGCAUGGGAAACUUAUGAAAGCUAUAUGCGCCAAAAGAGAGCCUUGCGUUCCAUUAGCUAGUUGGUGGGGUAACGGCCCACCAAGGCGACGAUGGAUAGCCGGCCUGAGAGGGUGAACGGCCACAAGGGGACUGAGACACGGCCCUUACUCCUACGGGAGGCAGCAGUGGGGAAUAUUGGACAAUGGACCACAAGUCUGAUCCAGCAAUUCUGUGUGCACGAUGAAGGUUUUCGGAUCGUAAAGUGCUUUCAGUUGGGAAGAAGAAAGUGACGGUACCAACAGAAGAAGCGACGGCUAAAUACGUGCCAGCAGCCGCGGUAAUACGUAUGUCGCAAGCGUUAUCCGGAUUUAUUGGGCGUAAAGCGCGUCUAGGCGGAAAAGAAAGUCUGAUGUUAAAAUGCGGGGCUCAACUCCGUAUUGCGUUGGAAACUGCUUUUCUAGAGUACUGGAGAGGUGGGCGGAACUACAAGUGUAGAGGUGAAAUUCGUAGAUAUUUGUAGGAAUGCCGAUGGAGAAGUCAGCUCACUGGACAGAUACUGACGCUAAAGCGCGAAAGCGUGGGGAGCAAACAGG
rnacentral:rRNA from 1 species